GCUCGGAUGGUCCAGUGGUAUAAUUCUCGCUUAGGGUGGCUCCCUGAUUUUCAGUUGCCAGAGAUUCCCGGUUCAAAUCCCUGUUUAUGUU